AUCAACUUUCGAUUGGUAGGAUAGAGGCCUACCAUGGUUUUAACGGGUAACGGGGAAUUAGGGUUCGAUUCCGGAGAGGGAGCCUGAGAAACGGCUACCACAUCCAAGGAAGGCAGCAGGCGCGCAAAUUACCCAAUCCCGACACGGGGAGGUAGUGACAAUAAAUAACAAUACGGGGCUCAUUUGGGUCUCGUAAUUGGAAUGAGUACAAUUUAAAUCCCUUAACGAGGAACAAUUGGAGGGCAAGUCUGGUGCCAGCAGCCGCGGUAAUUCCAGCUCCAAUAGCGUAUAUUAAAGUUGUUGCAGUUAAAAAGCUCGUAGUUGAACUUCGGGGUUUACCCAUUGGUCAGGCUUAAUUGUCUGCACUGGUGAGAUAAAUCUCUACCUUCUGAGGAACUUUCAUGCCAUUUAUUUGGUGUGAUGGGAAAUCAGGACUGUUACUUUGAAAAAAUUAGAGUGUUUAAAGCAGGCUAACGUCUGAAUACAUUAGCAUGGAAUAAUGAAAUAGGACGGACUGAUUCUAUUUCGUUGGUUUCUAGGAUCACCGUAAUGAUUAAUAGGGAUAGUUGGGGGCAUUAGUAUUCAAUUGUCAGAGGUGAAAUUCUUGGAUUUAUUGAAGACUAACUACUGCGAAAGCAUUUGCCAAGGAUGUUUUCAUUAAUCAAGAACGAAAGUUAGGGGAUCGAAGACGAUCAGAUACCGUCGUAGUCUUAACCAUAAACUAUGCCGACUAGGGAUCGGAUGAUGUUAAUUUUUUAAUGACUCUUUCGGCGCCCUUACCGGAAACCAAGUGUUUGGGUUC
rnacentral:rRNA from 1 species